rnacentral:rRNA from 1 species
CGGGGGGGAGCAAGCGUUGUUCGGAUUUACUGGGCGUAAAGGGCGCGUAGGCGGCCAGCACAAGUCAGUUGUGAAAUCUCCGAGCUUAACUCGGGAAGGUCAACUGAUACUGUGCGGCUAGAGUGCGGAAGGGGCAACUGGAAUUCUUGGUGUAGCGGUGAAAUGCGUAGAUAUCAAGAGGAACACCUGCGGCGAAGGCGGGUUGCUGGGCCGACACUGACGCUGAGGCGCGAAAGCCAGGGGAGCGAACGGGAUUAGAUACCCCGGUAGUCCUGGCCUUAAACGAUGAAUGCUUGGUGUCUGGGGUUAUAAAGUCCCCGGGUGCCGUCGCUAACGCUUUAAGCAUUCCGCCUGGGGAGUACGGUCGCAAGACUG